rnacentral:lncRNA from 1 species
AAUUCUUAAGUAACACCAUUUAUUAGUAUAAGCCAACAUCAUGUUAUACAAAAUUUUAGUGAGCAUUUUACAUACAUUUUUUCCAGUCCCAAAGUCCAACCUGUGAAGUGGAUCGAAAUGUAACUCUCAUUUUACUGAUGAAGAAAAUCAAGACUUAAAAAAGUUUAAUAAGCACAUUGUCUGCUUGAAUCACAACUGAGCAAUUGAAUGUCUUAUGAGAACACUGAACUCUUUGAAAUAUCUUUUAUAAAAAAAUUAAAGUUCUCACAAAAUUACAUUCGUGGUGUGAAUACUCCCCGUUAAACUAUCAACCUUUCUUAAAUCUAUAUACAGGCUUACAAGAAUCAAUAUCAUACAGCGACCCUCUUACUUGUGGGGAAAAAAAACAAGAGAUUUUUAAACUGAAGAGAAACUGAAAUUGAGGGUGCUCACAGACAACACACAAAAAAACUGUUUAUACAAUACUGCCUCUACCUGAUUCACCUUAUUUCACUAAAGCACUAUGAUACAAGAGAAGCCCAAUCUUUUCCCUCCUUUUGGUCGGCUUUACUCUGACCUGUAUCAAAAUGGCAUUUCCACGUCAAUAUAAAUCCAUUAUUACAUAACUUCAAGAUAACCUUCAUACUCUUAUUUCGAAAACUGUAUUUAAAAAUCAAUACUGAAAACAAAAGGAGGGCAGCAUAUUUUAAUAUGAAGAAGGCUGGUGCCGCCUAGAAUGAAUGGAGAGAUCCUUUACAGCAUCCCUCCCAAUCGGAAAGGGGAUCAGACGGUGAAACUCAUCACUAGCUCCAACAAGCAGGAAAGGUGCUUUAAAACCAAAAAAGUGGCCACUCGAUAAACUCAAGGAGGGGUGGGGCCCGUUCUUUUGGCGGCUGGCACUAGACUACCAGACAGAAAAGAAAUCCGUUGGUGGCCCGCACCUCGCUCCAAGAGUGGGCGCAGGCUACUUUCAAGGCGCAGCCUGGAGGCACUUGAGUCCUCGGCCCCGGAAACCUACUGAGAGGUGGCUCUGGAGGCCCCGAGGAGACAAGGGCCUCCGGGCCGACCGAUCCUAGCCCUGGCUAAGACAGGAGCCCCGUCAGGGCCCGAGGCGAUUCGCUCCCAAACUGAAACGGAAGCCAAUAGACAAAGUGGGCGACAAAAAAUAAAAUAAAAUUCCCGGAGGACCGCUCCGGCCGUGGGCCCGGCCUCCCCGGGCUCCUGGUUCACUGGUUUUUCCGAGGCCUUGGAGGGGAAGAGAAGCCCGAGCCGCGUGCCCGUCCCCUCCCCCACCCCGCCCCGUCUCCCCACCCCCCCCCACCCCCCACCCCGCUGGGCCUCCACAGCGGCCCUGGCUUCUCCGCCGCCGCCUCCUCCUCCCGCAGCUGAGGUAGCAGGUCGAGCGGUUUCCUCACGCGUUCGGAAGCGUGGACUCACCCGCCGCUAAGAAAACGGUACUGUCUUCGCGGCCUCUGGGCGUCAGGUGAUGGAGUGGGGCUCCACCGGUUCGAGGUGUCUGCGCGCCGCCCGACUCUAGAGACUGGUUCCGAAGCGCCUACUCGCCUAGGCCGCAAAACACAGCCGCGCUGCGCGGGGAGCUCCUGGAGGGCUUCCUCUUGCCCGGCGUGCACUGCGCCAGGAGGCGUGGAAAGGGAUAACCAUAGAGAAGGUGAUGCCUAGAUAGUCUCCGCCGUCGCCUCUGACUCAUUAAGUACAGAGGGAUGACCAUAGAGUGGGAUUGUCUAGUGGGACCUAGAGAGGCUCGAGCUGUAAAUUACCACCCACCCUGCCAUUUUUGAUUGGAGCCGAUUGAAUCUUAUGACUGUGCGACGCCAUCUUGAGGUCAAGGUUCCGGCUGGUUACUCGCGCGGGGCUUGUUACAGGUUUUCUCACAUUUUUUGGUAGUUCGUUUUCCAGGAAUUAGAACCUUGGUCUCCUGAUUCUUGGAGGUUCGAUGACCUGAUACCUGGGCGGGACCGAGAACCUCAAUAGAAAGCCCAGAUGUCAUUUGUUCUUCGCAA